rnacentral:rRNA from 1 species
GACGAACGCUGGCGGCGUGCUUAACACAUGCAAGUCGAACGGAAAGGCCCUGCUUUUGUGGGGUGCUCGAGUGGCGAACGGGUGAGUAACACGUGAGUAACCUGCCCUUGACUUUGGGAUAACUUCAGGAAACUGGGGCUAAUACCGGAUCGGAGCUCCUGCUGCAUGGUGGGGGUUGGAAAGUUUCGGCGGUUGGGGAUGGACUCGCGGCUUAUCAGCUUGUUGGUGGGGUAGUGGCUUACCAAGGCUUUGACGGGUAGCCGGCCUGAGAGGGUGACCGGCCACAUUGGGACUGAGAUACGGCCCAGACUCCUACGGGAGGCAGUAGUGAGGAUUAUUGCACAAUGGACGGAAGCCUGAUGCAGCAACGCCGCGUGCGGGAUGACGGCCUUCGGGUUGUAAACCGCUUUCGCCUGUGACGAAGCGUGAGUGACGGUAAUGGGUAAAGAAGCACCGGCUAACUACGUG